rnacentral:rRNA from 1 species
AUUGAACGCUGGCGGCAUGCCUUACACAUGCAAGUCGAACGGCAGCACGGGAUCAAUCCUGGUGGCGAGUGGCGAACGGGUGAGUAAAGUAUCGGAACGUGCCCAGUCGUGGGGGAUAACGUAGCGAAAGUUACGCUAAUACCGCAUACGAUCUAUGGAUGAAAGCGGGGGAUCGCAAGACCUCGCGCGAUUGGAGCGGCCGAUAUCAGAUUAGGUAGUUGGUGGGGUAAAGGCUCACCAAGCCGACGAUCUGUAGCUGGUCUGAGAGGACGACCAGCCACACGGGGACUGAGACACGGCCCAGACUCCUACGGGGGGCAGCAGUGGGGAAUUUUGGACAAUGGGCGAAAGCCUGAUCCAGCCAUGCCGCGUGCAGGAUGAAGGCCUUCGGGUUGUAAACUGCUUUUGUACGGAACGAAAAGGUUUGGCCUAAUAAGCUGAGCUCAUGACGGUACCGUAAGAAUAAGCACCGGCUAACUACGUGCCAGCCGCCGCCGUAA